rnacentral:misc_RNA from 1 species
AGAUUGUUUGACCUCAUUGUUUGUAACUGGUAAGAGUUCAGCGUGUCGCUACAGUUUUCAUUUCCGUGAGGACGUUCAUUGUCUGUGAUGAUUUUAAUUAACUUUUCAUUGAAUUUCACAUGAGACAAUUUGUUCUCACGUUGUUUUGUAGAAUAUUGUGAAACAAGUUCUUUGUGUUUCCCUCCAAAAAAAUUCAAGAUGCCGCUUCUUCGGCGACAGCCAUUUCACAGAAUCAAACCACCACCCGACCUCAGUCCAGAUGAAGAAGUAUUUCACUGUAAACUGACAAAUGAAAUAUUCCGUGAUUACGAAGAUUUUUUCGAGAGAAUAAUUUUAUGUAACAGUUUAGUUUGGUCAUGUGCAAUCACUGGGCGUGCAAGCCUUACAUAUCAAGAGGCAAUAGAAAGCGAGGAGAAGGCCCUCAAGAAUCUUGCCACUUUCCCCAGUUACCUUCAAAGGCCAAUUCUAUUCUUGGCCAGUCUGACCCACAGAAGUCGACUGAAUGAACUCAAUGAUGACAUAUUUGUCUAUACCAAGGACAGAUACUUCAUAGAUGAGAUGGUUGAGGUGAUGCUUGGCAAUGAAAGGAAAACAUGCAAAGUGUUAAGAGUGGUGCCGCCAGCAGCUGCUGUCCCUGAAGUGAAUGGUUGUAUCAUCAUAGACUCGGAUGAAGAAGAAGCAAGCUCCAAGUCAAAACCUGUUGCUUUAAAAGCUGACCAGUACAAAUAUGUCGUGCAAGAGAGAGGGAAGUCAAACAUUACUAUCACUGUUCCAGCGAAGCAUGUCAGUCGUAAGAAGGGUGUAUACACCAGAGACAAGAGCAAACUGUACCUGAAGCAGUACUGUGAGACAGUGCAGGGAAUAUGGAAGGUCAAGGAGUCAGCUAUAAGGAAGAAAGGCCUAAAGGAUUGCUCAUUCUCGGAUUUCUUUGCUGGUCCUCCUCCAACUUUUGGUUUUUCUGAGAGCAAGAGGAAGUCAGCAGGACGCAGAGAAGAAGAUGAAAGCAUUAACAGUGCUGAUGUGUCAGGAUUGCUGUCCUCAAAAUCUCCAAAGAAAAAGAAGGAGGACAAAAAGAAAGAGAAAACAGAUAAAGUACAACCAAAGUCUGAAGAACUAGAGAUGCCACGUUUAACAAAUGAGGAGAAAGCAGCCAUCAAGGAACAAUUUAAGCAGCAAAAAAUGGCUGAGAAAUUAGCUCUUAAGGAAGAGAUGAAAAAGAAAAAACAAGAGGAAAUGCAAAAAAGAAGAGAAGAAAAGGCCAUAGAAAGAGCAAAGAUAAUGGAAGAGAGGAGAAUACAAGCGGAGAUCUAUAAAGAGUGGAGUCGACAGAGAGAUGAUCUAGAGUGUGAUGAUCUUAAGCCCCUGCCUGAGUUGAAUGUUGUACAAACACGCCUCCCUGGGGAAUGCUUUGGAGAUGCUGUGAUGGUUCUGGAAUUCAUCAACUGUUUCACUUCUCUAUUUGAUCUCAGGGAAUACUUUCCAAAAGGAUUUACAUAUGAAACAUUGGAAAAGGCUCUCCUUGAGACAGACCAUAAUGGUGUGCUGACAGACAUUUUGUUGAUGAUGAUGUCUGCCAUCUUCACCCUGCAGGAAGAGGAAGAAGCAGAGGAAGAGGAGCUCUCCAAAGAAGAUAAGGCUAAUCAAGUGACUGGGAUGGAGGAGAUGGAUGAGACGAUGGAUAUGGAGGACAUGAUGGACACUGCUACAGUCUGUGCCCAAAUCCCUCAGCUAACCCACGGGACAACUCUGAGAAAACUACCCCUGGACUCUUUCACUCUGUCCGAGAUUGUUCGACUCCAUGUCCUUGCCUCUGGGGCCAAGGUCAGUGAUAAGAAUGUGAAGUACCGCUACCAGCAGCGGGGGGGAUACACCUCCCUGGACGACCCAGGUCUACAGUUCAGGAAGCAGGAGCCCACUCUGAUGAAACUUCUGGCCACUGAUAGUGUGUUUGAUCUGCAGCCAAGUGACAAGCUGAAAAUCCUGAACUUGUUGGUUCAGCAGUUUUUGACUUACGCUGCAACAAGAGACACAAUAGAAGAUAACUAUGACAAGCUGAGACAACUGAAGUAUGACUUGCGACAUUUACAGUGGGCGGAGCAGAGGAGGGAGAAGGAGGAGCAAGCCAUGAGGUACAAGAAAAGAAUGGAAGAGAAGCAAAAAGAAAGAGAAAAGGCAGAACAGAAAAGGCAGAAAAGACUGAAGGAACUAGAGGAGAAAAUGAAGAGGGAGGAGGCAGGGGAGACAGUGGAUGACGAAGUGAAACUCAUUGAGGAGGAAGAAGAUGAAGAUGAUGAGGAAGAUUCUGCCACAGAAGAAGAUAAAGAGGCCCAGCGACAGAAAGAAGAGGAGGAGGAUGCCAACAAGAAGGCAGAGUUUGGUCUACAGGAGCGACAGAUGAUUGACAAAAUCCUGGAUCUCCAGCACUCGUGUUCACUGGUCCCUAUUGGGCGGGACCGUAUGUUCCGUCGUUACUGGGUCUUCCAGUCCAUUCCCGGCGUGUUUGUAGAGGAUCAGGAGGAAUUUGUGGAUGAGAAGGGAUGGGAGGUAGCCCCCCAGAAAGUAACUGUGUCUGUCCCAAAACCUCAAAAGAUGGUGUCCGAAAAGACGGAAGAGCACAACAAUGGAAGUGACAAAGAAAACGACUCGUUCAAUACUUCCACUGCCAAUAACAGUAUUAAUACCAGCCAAAACCAGGAAACAGGAAAUCCUACUGGCUCGGCAAAUCCAACCCAAUUACCUCAAAAUUCUCAGGAUAAGGUUUGCAAUGGUGACUUGAUUACAAUUAGUGAUGAGGAAAAUUCCAAGCCUUCUUCAGUAAAAGAGGAGGGAGAGGAAAACGAGGCAGUGACACAGGUAAAAAAUCGUAAGAAAAAUACCUGGAUGUAUGUCACGUCAUCGGAGGAGCUUCACCAAUUAAUUGAUUCCCUCAAUGAAAGGGGAUUCAGGGAAAGUGCUCUAAAGUCAGCGUUGUUGGAGAGGAAAAACGUGAUCUUUGAGAACAUAGAAGACUGUCCGACCAACAUCCUCUGUCAAUCUGUAUCCACCUCCCUCAUCAAAGAGGAAAGUAGAUCAGAGUCUCCUUCUGAAUUAACAUUCAAAUCAACAAGGUCAGGGCCCAAAAGGACAUCCAAGGGACUCAUUAAAAACAACAGCGCACAGGAAAUUCUAGAAAUUAAUCUACGAGAAUUACUGAUUGAUUUGGAGGAGAGAAUACAUGUUGGAGGUCUAGGAAAAUUAAAGGUUACCGAUCGACAAAUCUGGAGAAAUGCAAUAGAGAAGGGAAGUUACAACUCCCAAACUGACGACCCAGUCUUCCAGAAGCAUGAUAUCAGUUUCAGUGAAGGGGAUGAAGAAGACAAGUCCUUGUCAUCAGAAGAUACGCGGGAGUCUGUGGUGAAGGACCUGUCCAAGGCCCUCCUACAGAUUGCUAUAGGGGUGGAACCUAAGUACAUGGGACCCCCACUGGGAUUUACUGAUGUUAAGGCCAAGUCAAAG